AUUGAACGCUGGCGGCAUGCCUUACACAUGCAAGUCGAACGGCAGCACGGGAGCAAUCCUGGUGGCGAGUGGCGAACGGGUGAGUAAUAUAUCGGAACGUGCCCGGUCGUGGGGAUAACGUAGCGAAAGCUACGCUAAUACCGCAUACGAUCUACGGAUGAAAGCGGGGGAUCGCAAGACCUCGCGCGAUUGGAGCGGCCGAUAUCAGAUUAGGUAGUUGGUGAGGUAAAGGCUCACCAAGCCGACGAUCUGUAGCUGGUCUGAGAGGACGACCAGCCACACUGGGACUGAGACACGGCCCAGACUCCUACGGGAGGCAGCAGUGGGGAAUUUUGGACAAUGGGCGCAAGCCUGAUCCAGCAAUGCCGCGUGCAGGAUGAAGGCCUCGGUUGUAAACUGCUUUGUACGGUAACGAAACGGUAGAGCUCUAAUACAGUUGCUAAUAGACGGUACCGUAAG
rnacentral:rRNA from 1 species